GAGGGAGGAAGAUAAGGAAGGCAGAGCAGGCGGCAGAGAAAGAAAGAAGGGGCAGUGGACAGACAUGGAAGCAGACAGAGGUUUACAGUGACAAAAGCCUUUAAAAAAAAGGGUUCAAUUCAGCAAAGACCACAGGCUUCUUGUUGACUGGUAUAUUUUCUGGAAUUCUCAAAACAAAACAACAAACAAAAAAAAAAACAAAACCUAAAGCUGUUUCCAUCGUUCAGACGUGAACCAAUAUUCUGGAAUUUUGCCAGAUCCUAGGGGGCCUCGAGCUCUCCUGACCAGACAGAGUGCUGCCCCAAGAAAACUCUAGUCGACCAACAUUCAAUUAUCAAUAAUGUUCUUUACACAAAUGCCGCCGAACUUGUCCAAUUCCUUUUCCUUCUCAGUAACCCACACAAAUAAUUUAAUCAUUUUUAUACAACACAUACUAGUCUCAAUAUCACAGUCAUGGUUACCCGCUACAGUCUACAGUCACAAACUUUUAUAUCAGUCUGCAUGGUUUUGUAGCAAAUUGUCUGAUUCAGAUGUUCAAAAACAUGCAUGGUUUGAAAUAAAACCAAUCUACCUGCAUUUUUUUUUUUUUUUUAAAUUUGAUCAUUUGUUGAGGUAACAUUUAGAAAUGAAGCAAUGCCUUCUGGGAAUUUUAAGACUGAAUCGAGUGGACCGCACUUGUGUGCUUGUUGGAAGUUGACUGAGAUUAAGCUAGCAAAAAAGUGAGUCGAGGCAUCAAGAGACACAAGAGGAGAGUGGAGACAAGAGAGAGAAAUCAAAGAGAGCGCUGCUGGCUGAUGGUGAAAAAAUGCCGCACACUGACUGAUUUGUUUUUAAAAUCAAGUGCAGCUUCAGCUAGCACUAGCACUAAUACUGCUAGCACUAAUGCUGGCGACAUAGCUGAGCCAACACACCUGGGAGAAAGACACGACAGAGAGGAAUAUGAGCCAGAGCAGGAACAAAACGAGGAAGAUGAAGAGGUAGACAUGGAUAACUGCAUGACGCUCUUGCAUUGCAAUGUGAUGGAUCUGUCAUAUUGUCAUCUUCUGUUCAAAAAGAAAAUCACUGAUCACCAAAAAGAAAAUCAGCAGCAGUGUCAACAGGCAGGCUGCUUUAGAAAUUGAAAACUUCUGCAGGAGCUGCACUGCCAUCCUAUGCCAAACCUCCAGUCAUAUCUGGUACAUAAUGGGUUGCCUCCAACUGUAUUCAGCCCAUAACUCUUUAAUCCAUGGUGAGUUAAUACACUUUCCACCACUACACUGAUUUGUCCAAUUUUGUUGGUCAGUGAAGAAUGAGGCAACCAGUAAUGGAUUUUAUAUGACUAUAACUGUGCUCUCAUUGAUAUUAGAUCCAGUACUGGAGGAUUACACUAUUAGUCUAUGGCGAUGAGAUCUCUCUUGUCCUCAGGAGGUUUAUUAGCAAGGGGAAGGGUUAUAGAGAGAGUGAAUUAAAUAAAGUGCAGGGAAUUGGUACGUAUAGUUGUCAGUGAUUCCCACCAAUAACCACAGUGGUGCAAUAAGGCCAUCCUGUUUGAGCUCUAAUAAGAUUGUGUGCAUUUGGCCUUGAUAAAGUCUCGCUGUCAUGUCUCCCAGUCUGUCAGCCGGAGCUGUGACUGGCUGGACCACAGUGAAGUGGCAGCACUGGGGAA